UGUGCCUUUAAAUCUCUGUUACUAAGGACCUUUGUUGUCUAGGGGAGGAAUGCAAGGUGAACAGGUGACUUAUCUGGCCAAUGGGAUCUCUAACUUGCUACCAGACCUAGCUAGUAGGAGCUAGCCUAGUUCAGUGGAGUUAAGGAGUUGAAGAGGAGUGAGGUACAGCUUGAGUGAGGAGCUGAGGAGUCUGUGUGAUCCAGAAGGAGGUCUAAUCAAGCUUGCACGCUUCUACUUAACCUCUGCACCUGUAGUGAAAGUCAAAGCUGCAAGCGGGCAGUUGGCCGUGAGUAGACCGCUGGGACCUGCGCAGCACCACCUCUUGGGGACCAGGAUUUGGAGAAUGGACCCCAGAAGAGGAAGCACCAAAGGAAAAGGGGGAAUACGCAACAGUGCUCCUUAUUGAUACCUAUUACAGCUAAGUAUCUGCGUAUACAAUUUUUGCUUUUAGUCAUUUUGUGGAGCUUGUAUGUUACCCUUAUUUUUUAUGUAUUCACCUGCUUAGAAAGCUGUGAGCAAUAAUUCAAGCGGUAGCGCUAAAUUUCAGUAUAUGUGCAAAUUGUCAGACUCUACUGUCAAAUGCCUAUUGCUAAUCAAUUGCCACUGUAUCAUAAAAAGAACAUGUAAUCCACUAGCUGAAAAAUAAUGCAAGUUUAUUGUGCAGAGUCAUAAAGAGACGCUGCCUGCACCGGAAGUCCUGGCUGAAGUGACAGAACAUGUUUGCUCUAGUAGAUGGGUCGGAUGAUGGAGGAUCACUCUGCCUGAUUUGAUCGCAAGGAAUCCAUGUGGACCUACUUCCAUUCCUAAAGUCUUGUGUUGGACCUAAUCUAUGGAGCGUUGCACCAGUACAAACAGAUGCCAUCUGCUAUGAAAACCCACUUCUUCAAAAACAUGGUGAGCACCGAAGCUAUUCCCAGUCCAUUGCCUAUGGUAACGCCUGGGAGGCCGGUUGGUGGAUUCUGGGUGAGCUUUCGGCGACCGCAAGCUUCCCGGACCAUUUGUGCAGAAGCCUGGAGAGAAGAAUGCCGUGGGGAUAAGUAUCAAAAGUAAGGGCACUGUUUUCCCAUAUCCAAGAUGGCACUGUGACCCUCUAGGUACGCAGAGCGCAUGCGCUGAGGCGAGCAUCUCUACUCCACAGCAACGGCCAUCACAUGACAAGUCACUUGACUUCCAGAGCGAUACGUCACUUCCGGUCCGAUGGAUGGACCCCGGAAGUAUCCUAGCGUCCACGCUGACCAGCUUAUGGAUUCCACAGUGAUUUACGGCGAGUGUCCUGCCUCUCCCCGCCCACCUCAUCAAAAUCUGCACCUGUCAUUUUAAUAUGGUAUGCACUAACGAUCGGAAAAAAUGCCGAUGGUCCUACAUAUGUAUUAUUCACAUGGAUGUAUGUUGCUAUUUAUAUGCAAUUGUUUUAUGCACAACUUUUAAAAUGUUUAUAGUAAAUUGCUUAAUUGUUUACGAGGUCCUGCGUGACCAUAAAAAGUCAGAAGCUGUAACACUGUUUGCUUGAUAAUGAUGGUGUGAGACCAUCGAAACGUCGCCUUUUUUUUGCACAUUCAAGAUGA